rnacentral:rRNA from 1 species
UACGUAGGGUGCAGGCGUUAAUCGGAAUUACUGGGCGUAAAGCGUGCGCAGGCGGUUGUGUAAGACAGAUGUGAAAUCCCCGGGCUCAACCUGGGAACUGCAUUUGUGACUGUAGAGCUGGAGUACGGCAGAGGGGGAUGGAAUUCCGCGUGUAGCAGUGAAAUGCGUAGAUAUGCGGAGGAACACCGAUGGCGAAGGCAAUCCCCUGGGCCUGUACUGACGCUCAUGCACGAAAGCGUGGGGAGCAAACAGG